GCGAGCAUAGAGAGGUAACCCUAGAUGCUUGCUUCAACACCAAAUAUUUGUGAGGGAGUGGGAGAGAUCUUAUCGCCUUGUGGAGUGAACUGUGGACGCGGGGAGAGGUUCUACUACUGCCACGGGAGGGAGGAGGCCUUCCAAGCAUUCUAGGAAUCCAAAGAACCGUAGAGAACUCUCUAAACACCCAGGUACCUCCACCCUUGAUCAAGAAUACAACCGAGCGGAGCAGGCGACGGCCAAAUGGAGCAAUUGACAAGCGAACAGUCCAGACUGAAAGCGAGCGGUUCAGACGAUCCAGGUGUUCGGAAGCAAGGAGGACACGUCAGAAAGGUAUUUCUAAGUGUUAAAAUCACAACGUUGGAAGACUUAAUGUUCAAGAUGCGGAGUUGAAAUUAGAGAGUUUCACAACUUAGCUGCGAAUGUUUCUACAACUUGUGGAUUUUGCUCUAAAAUGCAAAGUCAAAACAAGAGAGUUUCACAACUGAGUUGUAAAAGUUUCCACAACUUGUGGAUUUACUUUAGGAGUGCAAAAUUGAAACUAGAGAAGAGCAUAAGUAGAUUGUGGAUUUUUCCAUGACCAGUGGAAUCAUUCAAAAUAGUUACUAAUCUCUCAUAUUACGUGGAUUUAAAAAGAUUAAAGAAAAAGAAGAAAUUGAGGAUAGUUUCUUAAAGAGAGUAACCACUCUCCUAAAAAGGGGGAAUUAGACGAAAAAAGGGGGACAUAACAAUUGGAAAAUAAACGCAGAUCAGAGAGCAUGGGAAAUCAUUCGACUACUUAUUCUCCUUCCUUUAGUUUCAUGUAAAUUUUACAUUAU